UACGUAGGGGGCAAGCGUUGUCCGGAUUUAUUGGGCGUAAAGAGCGUGUAGGCGGCCAGCUAAGUCCGCUGUGAAAUCUCGAGGCUCAACUUCGAGCUGUCGGUGGAAACUGUCUGGCUAGAGUCCGGAAGAGGAGAAUGGAAUUCCUGGUGUAGCGGUGAAAUGCGCAGAUAUCAGGAAGAACACCCGUGGCGAAGGCGGUUCUCUGGGACGGUACUGACGCUGAGACGCGAAAGCGUGGGGAGCGAACAGG
rnacentral:rRNA from 1 species